rnacentral:lncRNA from 1 species
AACACUCGGUCAUUGCAUCUCUUCUUCAACCUCUUACUAUAUAGCUUGUUUCUGUGUUUUGCUGGAACAAUGGCAAGCCCAAAUCAGUCACAAACAGUGGAAAAUGAAACUAAGAAUCGUACCCUGCAUGAAGCUCGUGUAGCCCGGGUACGUAAAUUAAAGCAUUAUUUUGUUUUGAAAUUUCAUUUUGUUUGAUCGACGACUUUCUUUUUUCUAAUUCUGUUUGGUUUUGGUUUGAUUUCAUGCUAAGCAGGCAAGGCCAGUGGUGGAAGCUUUCAUACAGAAAGUGAAAGAAACUUUCGUAAGUUAUUUUAAAGCCAGGACUUCUUCCUUGUUUUGGAUAACGUUCACUACAAUGUAUAUUAUUUUCUAAAGUUUAAUAGUCAAAGUAUUUAUUAAUAUAAGUGGCGAUUAAUUAAUCAAGGCUCUGGCUGGCACUGAGGAAAGGCCUGCGGUAGAAGAAAGUUCAAGCACUAAGCCUAAUGAAGAAAUGGAACCUGAUGAAUUGAAGUUGGGGGAUCUCAAAAUUAAAUGAAGCUCUCGAGUCUCGGCAAUGAUCGGCGUCAUAGAUCUUUCAAUUUAUCUUUGCAGUUGUAAUGUCAUGUGCUCUAGCACAAUCAUAUGUAUCAGUUACUGUUUUCUCUUUUGCUUUCAAUAAAUGUCUGUCUUGUGUUUCUCAUUUGGUUUAAUAAAUUUCUAAUUUUCAGCA